GACGAACGCUGGCGGCGUGCUUAACACAUGCAAGUCGAACGGGCCUUGUCCCCUUUUUUUUUGGGGGUGGGGUUAGUGGCGAACGGGUGAGUAACACGUGAGUAACCUGCCCCUCACUUCUGGAUAACCGCUUGAAAGGGUGGCUAAUACGGGGUGUUCUGGCCUGCUCGCAUGGGUGGGUUUGGAAAGAUUCGACCGGUUUUGGUUGUUUUGGUGGGGGAUGGGCGCGCGGCCUAUCAGCUUGUUGGUGGGGUGAUGGCCUGCCAAGGCUUUGACGGGUAGCCGGCCUGAGAGGGUGGGCGGUCACACUGGGACUGAGACACGGCCCAGACUCCUACGGGAGGCAGCAGUGGGGAAUAUUGCACAAUGGGCGCAAGCCUGAUGCAGCGACGCCGCGUGAGGGAUGGAGGCCUUCGGGUUGUGAACCUCUUUCGCCAGUGAAGAAGGUCCUGCUCUUUGUGGUGGGGUUGACGGUAGCUGGGUUAAUGAAGCGCCGGCUAACUACGUG
rnacentral:rRNA from 1 species